AUUGAACGCUGGCGGCAUGCCUUACACGUGCAAGUCGAACGGUAACGCGGGGCAACCUGGCGACGAGUGGCGAACGGGUGAGUAAUGUAUCGGAACGUGCCCAGUUGUGGGGGAUAACUGCUCGAAAGAGCAGCUAAUACCGCAUACGACCUGAGGGUGAAAGCGGGGGAUCGCAAGACCUCGCGCAAUUGGAGCGGCCGAUAUCAGAUUAGGUAGUUGGUGGGGUAAAGGCCCACCAAGCCAACGAUCUGUAGCUGGUCUGAGGGGACGACCAGCCACACGGGGACUGAGACACGGCCCAGACUCCUCCGGGAGGCAGCAGUGGGGAAUUUUGGACAAUGGGCGCAAGCCUGAUCCAGCCAUGCCGCGUGCGGGAAGAAGGCCUUCGGGUUGUAAACCGCUUUUGUCAGGGAAGAAACGCUCUGGGUUAAUACCUCGGGGUAAUGACGGUACCUGAAGAAUAAGCACCGGCUAACUACGUGCCAGCAGCCGCCGUAACAC
rnacentral:rRNA from 1 species